GAUGAAGAACGCAGCAAAAUGCGAUAAGUAAUGUGAAUUGCAGAAUUCAGUGAAUCAUCGAAUCUUUGAACGCACAUUGCGCCCGCUGGUAUUCCGGCGGGCAUGCCUGUUCGAGCGUCAUUUCAACCCUCAAGCCCCCGGGCUUGGUGUUGGGGAUCGGCGAGCCUCCGCGCCCGCCGUCCCCUAAAUCUAGUGGCGGUCUCGCUGUAGCUUCCUCUGCGUAGUAGCACACCUCGCACUGGGAAACAGCGCGGCCACGCCGUUAAACCCCCAACUUCUGAACGUUUGACCUCGGAUCAGGUAGGAAUACCCGCUGAACUUAAGCAUAUCAAUAAGCGGAGGA
rnacentral:misc_RNA from 1 species